rnacentral:tmRNA from 1 species
GGGGAUGAUCAGGUUUCGACUGCGACUGUUGAUCUGAUUCUCGCAUGCCGUGCUUAGUGUAUGCACGCUAAAAUCACACUAAAACAAUAAGUGCAGAUAACUUCGCACUCGCUGCUUAAUUAAGUAGCCGCUGAUACUAUAGCAACUAUGGGCUAUCUUAUUAGUGCCAAACAAAUUACAUAGUCGUUUUACUGGGUGCCGCCAUGAGCCUAAUAAAACGUAUACUCAAGGCUGGUUAUAAUGUUUUUCUUCUUGACUUUUAGCCUUAUGACCAUAUAUUAAAGACAAGAUAAGCAUGUAGACGGAUUCAGGGCUCUUCGUAGGACGCGGGUUCGAUUCCCGCCAUCUCCA